AUAUUUUACACAGUCAUUAAAUAGAGUAAGCAUUUGGACUUCUACACAAAAUUCUAGUUGCUAUAGCAGCAAGGAGGCAAAACAAUUAAACAGCAACAAGAAGCACAGUACUGCUUUCAACUAGAGUACUGUUAAUGGUUGAACAAGUUAUAGUAUAAUGUUUAUUUCAGUAUAAUGUACAUUCUUGAGUAAAGUUUCCAAUGUCAGCCUCUCUGAUAGAGUACUUGCCUGCAGUAAGCCAGGUUGAUAAACAGUAGUGACAGUUGUGGGAAACCAAUAGACUGCCUAAGGCUUUGCUCCACAGCCUUAAAGAGCUCUUCAACAAGACCAGAAAGCAACCUCUCUCAGCUUUUCAUUGCCUCCCUUAAUCCUGGAUACUCACAGGAAGCCAGUGGAGCCAUGAAGGACACUCAGCCAUCAAAAGAGAAUAUUUUCAUACCAUCCUUGCCUGAUGUAUCAAAUCUAGUGGAACCUUGUCAUGAUUCAGCUUCGCUAAAGGGGGCACUGAGUUAUGCGGAGACCCUGUUUAUCCGCAGCACAACAGCAGCUGAGCUUGUGUGUGGUCAGAGGAGAUAUAAAUGCUCAGGGUGCUUGCAUUACUAUGAUUAUCUGGACUGUUUGCUGGCACACAUAAAGCAAGGCAGGAUGGAGGGCUUUAGCUGUCGAGUUUUCUACAGCAAACUGAAAAGAAUGCACGAACACAAAUAUGCAAAGAGGGGUUCAGAGAAACAAUCCACAGCUCCAGAUCCGAUGUGCCAUUUUGCUAGUGGAGGGUCAUAAAUGUUACAGCUUCAGAGAUAAGAAGAUGGAUAUGAUCUGCAUGUGGCUGCAGACAAUGCAGAUAUCAGCAGUUCCUGAAUAGAUCAAAUAAAGGGACAUAAACCGGCAACACAAUGCAUUGUUCUGCGAUUUACUUACCCGCUGGAGAGAUGACACUGAUAGGAAGCAGCUUCAGACAGUUUAUUUAUAUUAUGCCAUAUGUAGAGUAUUACUUAUAUUUCAG
ensembl:lncRNA